GACGAACGCUGGCGGCGUGCUUAACACAUGCAAGUCGAACGCUGAAGCUUGGUGCUUGCACUGGGUGGAUGAGUGGCGAACGGGUGAGUAAUACGUGAGUAACCUGCCCUUGACUCUGGGAUAAGCCUGGGAAACUGGGUCUAAUACUGGAUACGACAUGUCACCGCAUGGUGGUGUGUGGAAAGGGUUUUACUGGUUUUGGAUGGGCUCACGGCCUAUCAGCUUGUUGGGGGGGUAAUGGCUCACCAAGGCGACGACGGGUAGCCGGCCUGAGAGGGUGACCGGCCACACUGGGACUGAGACACGGCCCAGACUCCUACGGGAGGCAGCAGUGGGGAAUAUUGCACAAUGGGCGGAAGCCUGAUGCAGCGACGCCGCGUGAGGGAUGACGGCCUUCGGGUUGUAAACCUCUUUCAGCACGGAAGAAGCGAAAGUGACGGUACGUGCAGAAGAAGCGCCGGCUAACUACGUG
rnacentral:rRNA from 1 species